UUUGCUUCCGUAGGGGCUAAGAUGGGAGUUCUGUGCUGUUUAGUGUUCUUAGGGGUUUUGUAAACAGUACAGUUUUGCCUUUUUGUUUUUAAACAACUGGAUAGAAACAGUAUCAUAUGAAGGAGACAGCGGCCAGCCCUGGUAAUUCACAGACGGGGGCUGCGACAGGUCGUAGUGUCCUGAGAUGUCAGUCCACAUGGAAUCCAUGAACCCCAGGGCUCUGCGCGGCAGAGGGCACUCAGGCGGGAAGGAAGAGAAAGACAGAUGCGUGUGGUCAUGGAGACUUUGCCAUGUUACCCAGAAAGUUGUGUUCUCCUGAGAAAGAUGAUGCGGCUGUUUACAGAGGCAAGGAGGACAGAUAGGGAAAUGCCGUACGUCUCUCCUGCCUAAAUCUGAGCAACUUCCAAGUGUGACAUUUGGAGCUGGAGGUUUCCCGCCAGGAGGCUGGGAAGCCAGCGGGGAGGCGCCUCUGCAGGGGAGGGGGCUGCGCUGGGCACGGACCGUGCUCGGGCCAGGCCAGUCACCCCGACUUCAGAAGCCGACUGAAGCCGACUUCAGAGGGUCUGGGGAAGUAGGGCCGAGCCCACGAUCUAGCAACUCUAACAGGAAGAUAGAUUGAGAAAGGUGAGAAGCUUCCAAGAAUGAAACUGUCAGCCACACUUCAAGUGAAUCAGAAACAAGACGCCAUUCGGAAAACAAGCACUGAAACCUACACUAGACUGAAACAAAAUAAGUUUAAAAUGCUAUGAAUAAAAAUCUAGGCAAAUAUCACCUAAAUGUCAUCAGUACCUGCUAUCUCUUAGUGUUGAAAUUACAGGUAACUUUUAUUACCUCUUUGCCUUUCUGUGUUGUUAUAGUUUUCAUAAUUAUUGCCAUGUUAUUUUAAUUUUUAUAUUAUACCUGUAAAACGUAUGUAGGGAGAGAAAGGGAGUGUUGUAUUUAGCUCCAACGGUCCACACUUAAUUGAAAUACUGAGAAACUGGAACUUAGCCAGAAGAAGGUGAGCGGAGAAGUGUGUGUGUACAUGUGUGGGUGUCUUUUGUGGGCGUGGACGUGGCAGACAGACGGGUUUGGGCUCAGCACAUGGCAGGAAGUUUCUAGUUCCUGGGGCUGACGUUGAGGGAGAGGGCCAUGCUGCGCACGGUGAAUAGAGCAGUUGGGGCUGGUUGGCCACCUGGCAGGAUGUUUAGAUACCGAGCAGAGAUGCCUGUAAUGAAGCUGGAAAUCAGGAGUCUGACUGAGAUUUUGUGAUUCCACAAUGUUUUGGUAACGCUUCAGUUUUCACCACCGUAAUUGACGAAGUAUGACUUCCAGUGAAUACGUUGGGGCAGUUUCGCCAGACGUAAUCUUGCAGGUGCGCCUACGGUGCCUUGCGGGUCGUGGAGAUGGGGUUCAAUACCCGACUUGACUCUUCCUUAAAUGAGCGUGGCUGAGAGCCGCUGCAGGAACAGGGAACUCUGAGGACAGUUGAACACAGGAGGACAAUGUAAAGAAAGAGGCCUCUUUCUUUAAAAGUGAAACGAGGGCCGCCUGGUAUCAUUAAAAUAAAGUCUGGGAGAAUUUCAAAUGCUUUUUCGGCCGGCACCUUAAAGGUGGCAAACGUAUUUAAACACUUGGCAUGCAUAUCAACACGGCUUGAUAACUGCCAUGUUUUUCUCUGUAAUUUUCUUUUCUUCAGAAUAAUAAGAUAACUCAGGUAUCAUGAGAAAUCAAUAGGGAGACAGCUGAGAACAGCUCUGACUCUCAGACAAAUAGAAACAGAAGCCAAUGAAACCAGAAACUCAAGAACCAAAUAGUGUGGCAGACAGGAAGGAGGCCUGUAACAAUUUUUCAAACAAAGCAGAUAUGAUAAGAAAACCUAAUUGGCUUAAUAUGAUAAUGGUGGACGGAUGUAGUUUUCAACUUCAGAGCAUUCCAAAGACCAGAGUUAGAGUGUUAUAAGAUCUGGCUUGUAACCGAUGGAAAUGUUCAUUAUUCUUCAUCGUGUCAUCCAGAAUAUAUCAAGAUUGGACGGAGAGGGUUCUUUUUUUCUGAUGUCGUUUUCCUAAAGCCAGCAUCUCAGGUUAAGGCUAGUUAUUAGUCUCAAAGCUACAGUUUAUCUAGAAGUGGUAGAAGUAUUUUAGGAUUUGUCUUUAAUAGCACCUAAAAAACAGGAGGCCAGCUUGCCUACUUUGCCUUUUGGCUGAAUUUUAAAAGCCACCCUCAGCAAGGACAGACUCUGAAGAGGGGGUCUGGUCAGUGGAGCCAGUCGGCCUGGGUUCCUACCUGAUUUCUCAGCUAACUAGCCUAGGGGCACCUGGGUGGCUCAGUCAGUUAAGCAUCAGCUCAGGUCAUGAUCUCACGGUCUGUGAGUUCGAGCCCCGAGCCAGGCUCUGUGCUGACAGCUCGGAGCCUGGAGCUGGCUUCGGAUUCUGUGUCUCCCUCUCUCUCUGCCCUUCCCCGCUAAGCACUCUGACAGUCUCUCUCUCUCAAAAAUUAAACAAAACAAAACACCAUUAAGCUAACCAGCCUCUUGCAAGCGAGUACCCCCCCGCCCCCCAUCAAAUGGGCCUGGCAGCAGGGACUCCUUUCAAGGGUGCUGUGAGGAUGAAGCCAGAUGGAAAUGUUUGUCUCGAUGGCUGACACAGAUGAGGUCCCGUAAUCAGGAUUCUGUUCAUUCGGUGUCUUGUCUUGUUUUUUAAUUCACUACUCUUCCAGUUUUUUUUUUCCCCUUUUUUAACUCUCCCCAAAAGAUUCACAAGUGCAUGGGGAAGAAAUACAGAAUGAAUACAGAUUAGGGCAUUUUUGCAAUAGAAUAGUGACAUCUCCAGACUUCGACCGUUGGAUGGUUUCUUUGCUAAGCUUUCAGACUACUGGGUCAGCGAAGAGAACUGCCCAUUUGAUACCUGUAGCAGCUUUUUGGGCGCCUCAUGACUUUGCUGCUACCUGGAGAAUGACUGUCUGAGAAUCGGCAGGCCCCGGAAAUCACCUCCAGUUGAAGCCAGUGUUUACCACCCUGCCUUGUAAAAUUUCCUCCUGUGUAGGGAUGCUUGUCUUUUUUUUUAAUUUAUUUUUUUUAAUUGAGGUGCUUACUUGCUGGGCUUGGCUCAUUUACACAGGGCUGUUACUUUCAGUGAAACAGGUGAACUGCUGGAGCUGGGACCUUGUGGAGUUAAGGGGCCCCAGGUAGGUUUCUGUCUCCACCCGCCUCCCUGACCUCAGGUGAGGUCUCACUCAGGUGGGAGUUAGAUAAUGUUGCUCUGUGCUUUGGGGCCUUUUUGAUCUUCCUUAAUAAGUUCUGUGAAACUCUGCCUCUUAAAAGCAGGUGAAUUCACGUAGGUGUGGGUUCAUACGUCGGUGUGGGUUCAUACGCUGUGUGGAAACCAGACUCCUCUGGUGAGGGUAGCGGUCAGGGCUCUCCAGGAAACUGAACACCCAGAGCCCGUCUCAGGAGCUGCCGCCGCGGGUGACAGUAGGACCGUGUGCCUGCUGGCUGUUGCAUAAACGCAAACAGAGGAAGGCGCUCUCUCUCUCCACCCACCUUGGCUUAUGUUGAAGGUUCAAGAAAGCACAUUGUCUCGCCCUUGUGGGCUCACAGCUGAAGAAUUUCAACUUAGAAAGCAGCAAGCCACGCUGAAUCUAAUCUCAUGAGAAUCACGUCUUUCCCCCACUUUUUCUUAUUCCAUAUAAGCAUCUCUUAAGAAAUCAGGUUCAAAAUCCUCUAAAAAGCUAAGCUCGAGAGAGUUUUGGGAAGUAUAUUGUUGAACAGGACAGAGGGCAAGGACGUGGAGGAGAGAAAAUACAGGCGAAGGCCCGAGUUCGUAGUAACGUAAGGGAAGGCUGGACUAGAAGGACAGAAGGUGAAAUGGCUUCUUUUCCUCCCCAUUUCCAGUGAAAUUAGUAUUAUGGGAUAAUUGCCACGCACCUCCUUUCAUAGUGUAGAGAAGCCAAAGUUAUUGGUGGAAAUGGAGUAAAAACGCUCCUUUUAAUACUCGCGUAGUAGAAGAGGACAGAUUGCAAAUAACAGUAGCAAUGAUCGGUGUCCUGGGACGUUGCAGGUCGUGACUGUAAGUCACCACGAACUUGCAUCUUGGGUAAGGGGGCGAGCCCUCCCAGGGGUGUCCAGCUUCUCUGCAGGUGGUGGGGGACGGUCUGCAGGCACGCGCCCUAUUCGUUCCUUACCUUCACCACAAACAACGGGGCUGUUUGUCCCAAGAGCCCGAGGGCCUGUUACAGAAAGCAUUUUUAUAUUAGUAAGAGUGAAAUUUUCAGUGGUUUCCUGAACAGUACGGAGGAAGUUAUGAAUUGUGCGACAAGGAUUUUUACUAUCUUGUAUUCUAGUUUGAAGAAACAAAUGCCCUUUAAAACGACAGAUUUUACAAAAGGGAGAGGGAAAAAAGUUCUAGAAAGCCCUUGGGAGACUAAAAUGACUUCGCAGGGACAGGGAAAGGCGAACACUUAUUCAGCAGAUGUAAAGUGAUCCAGAAGUGAGACACAGUAUGUGCACAGGACCCUGUGGGUUACUGCUCACACAGGGUGGGGGGUGGAAUUGGUCCCUGAGAGCCUCUGCUUUCAUUCCAGGCAGGCAGUCCUCAGCUACAGGAAUUUUUCCCGUUUUCUUCUCGUUUGGUAUCUUUAUACCUUGCUUGAUCCUAGUGUCCCUGCCCCACCAAAAGGAACACACUGUAUUCGCGUCUAGAUUUUAUCACCUUUAGUUCGAGUAAAUAAAAUGGAUAAAGUGAAGCAGAUGAUUAAUUUUCAAAAGGAAAUAAACGCACGGGUUGUUUUCUGUGUUCCAGAAAUGCCAUGCCAUUCAAGAUGGCUAGCCAGUGUAGGAUAGGACAUUUAGGAGCCUCCCUGAAUCCCGACUGUCAAGUUAUGCUUACGUCAAAGGAAACAAAACUCCUUAUUUUUAUUCGAAACCCCUUAUUUUGAAACGACAGUAUCUACCACUUAAUUAUAGGUGCUAAUGUCAGAAAAGUUGGUAUGCUUGAAAUGUGUACCCUUGAAAACAGUUUCUCUUCUAAGAGCAAAUUGGGUUUAACUUUAGCACUCUGAAAGAGAAAGGAAACCAUUUGAGCCAAGAUGGACCCCCAGUGAAUGGAGGCUUUCACGUCGGUGUAGCCGCACCCAAACCAGGCCCCAAAGAAGCUGUUAAGAGUGUCGGGCGGUGGUCAUUUUUAUUUGAACUUAAUCAGACACACUUUUCGUGGCGUGGGUGGGAGCCACGCUCUGGGAUCUCUGCAAAACCCACAGUUGCAUUUGUUCCCUCGCUCUCUCUUUCGCCUGACUCGCCGACCACGGAGUCUGGUUCUGGAAAAUGUCGGAAAUGGGCCAGAGGCGGAAUAGCAGGCGGCUCCGCGCCUGGCCUCGGCGGGGCCCGGGCCUGGGAGACGCCUCCCGGUGCACGUACCCGGGACCGGCCUGGGACCUGACGCGUGUCCCGGCGCACGCCCCCGCACCGGCCCGGCCGCAGGUGCCCGCGGGGCGGCGCGCGGGCCGAGCUGGCCGUGUGCCUGCAGAGCGGGUCCCGGCAAGCCCGCCCCGUGUGGGGAGGGAGGCCGCGCAGCCUGCCUGGGGCUUCCUCCCGGGGCACCGCUGCCUCUCACAGGAAAUAGCAGCUCCGGCCUCAGCCGGCCCGCGCUGCUUCUCCCUCUCCCCCUCCCCUCCGGGAUAAGCCUCUUCUUCCUGGGUUUCUCCACCAGAAUCCUAGGGUCCCGUCGUAGCCCCCGAGACCCAGGCUUCCCGAGGGCCCCGGAGCUGCAGGAGCAGGUGCAGAGCAGCGCCGCCAGGGGACAGAUGCCGCCCCGGGCUCGGGGUGGCUGGGCGCCGGUCCACUGGCCGGAGCCGAAGCGGGUGCGCCCGCGGAGCCUGCCUCUCAGGUAAAUGCAGCCUGUGCCUAGAACCCGCCACCUUGCAGACUCCCAGCAAAGUGGUAACUAGAACUCAGGGAGUAAGUGCGAGACGGGGGCGGGUUUAGGGAGCUUUGACACCUUUGGUUCUUAGAAAAUGAAUUCGAGGGGCGCCUGGGGGGCCCAGUCGGUUGAGCGUCCGACUUCGGCUCAGGUCGUGAUCUCACGGUCCUUGGGUUCGAGCCCCGCGUCAGGCUCUGGGCUGACGGCUCGGAGCCUGGAGCCUGCUUCUGAUUCUGUGUCUCCCUCUCUCUCUGCCCCUCCCCCACUCAUGCUCCGUCUCUCUCUGUCUCUCACUAAUAAUAAAUAAACGUCAAAAAAAAUUUUUUAAAUGCAUUCGAGCCAUUCACAGAAGUAACCUUACAGACACAUUGUUGGAGACCUUUUUGGUGAAAAUAGAACUGAAUGUGAUAUUCUACAAAUCAGUGCAGGAACACAGGCCAACCCAAAAGUCUGUAAGAGGCGCUGACAGAGGCCCGAGGGUCCCGUCACUUUUCAGGAUUUUAAGAUCUGAUGGAAAGCUUGAAUAGUGACAUCGGUGAGGACGCUCGUUCCCCGGGGCCAGCUGACUGCGGUGGGCGUCCCCCUGCACCUUUUCUUCAUCCACAGGAGGGGAAGAACCUAAGCCUGAGCUAGGGUGAGACCCUCUGAGUAGAUUUCUUCAUUUGGAGUUUUAUAGUGUUCUUGCUGAUAUUGUGGGUUCUUGCUUUCGUGA